AGGGCCAUCUGCUUGCCGGAGAGCUGGAUGAUCCAGUCAAAAGCUGAAGGCCUGGAGCUCACUGCAGAGUGCCGUGUGAGUUCAUGUCAAGAAGCCAGAGGGUUUGCCUUGGAAGGCUGAAAAGUCUGAGCUGAAAGCUUGAAGGGUCUGUGCUGGAAGCCUGGAGAUGGAUAUCCAAAGACAAGGGUAAAGAUGGAAGCACACUUCUAGAUUUCAGGGUAACAGAAGCCACAAAGUAAUCUUGAAUAGAAAACCAUUUGCUAGACGGGAUUAGAUGGUUUUGCUACCAUUGAAAAGGCUCGGGAGGAAAGAACAAGACUACUUCAGGCUUUCAGGAAGCAGAAAGUGGACACUUGCAGAAUUUGUCAAGGUGGAUAUCUGAUUAAAGAUGGGAGAAAUGUAUGCUUUCUCCUGGGAAUGUAAAAAGAAAGCACAGAUGUAGU